CAGAUUUCCGAGCCUUCGUCCGAAAUAUGGUAUGGCUCUGGUGCAUAUUCUCAGCUGUAACUAAGGUACAGGAUUAGGCAUUUCUGCAACAACGAGCGAGAUUUGGCUCUGUCUUCCUGCAAGAGGAGCAGCUUUUUUAUGAAAAAAGGUACUAAUGGCUGUUAUGGUUAGCUGUUCGAAGCUAAAUUAACACAAUCCUAGUUUUCAAAAAAAAGGAUGCUGCAGAUUUACUCAAUAUCGGGAUACUUCCAACAGAGAAUUCUGGAAAUAGUGUUGAUCUGCAAUCAGACUCAGUUUUUGUUAAACAACCAAGUACACAAUUAAGUCGCCAUAAUUGCUGAUAAAUGUUCCUCCUUGGAAUGAGUGAGUCUUAUUGUUGAUUCCCAGCAGCAUCUAGAUUUUCCAGAUGCUUCUCAUGUCCAUGUAAAAAAAAUUUUUUUUAUAAAUUCUGCUUCGAAAUCAUUCCUAUUUUAAAACAAUGCUUGAAUUUGGUAUUUCUGGGGAAAGUGAUUCAUCAAAAUGAACAUCAGAAAUAGAAGCUGCCCUGACAAUUCGUCCCUAAUCUGUGACCACUAUCACCAAAAAUGACAAGGGCAGCAAGUGUGAGGUUCACUAUUACCUACUGGUUCACUUACAUUACAGGAUAAUUUGGCAAACCCCACUGAGGGAGUAGCUUCACCCAAAGGAAUGCAGCAGUUUGCAAAGGCAGCUCAAUGCCACCUUCUUGAGGACAAUAAAUGCUUGUCUUUCAGCCAACAGCCAAGUACAAAAAAUAUUUUUAUAUAAAGCGGGUGUUCACCAUUAGUCCCCUCAAGCCUGAAAUUCUAUGCAUAUUACAGUGGCAUGCAAAAGUUUGGGCACCCCAGUCAAAAUUUUUGUUACUGUGAAUAGUUAAGUGAGUAGAAGAUGAACUGAUGUCCAAAAGUCAUAAAGAUGAAACAUUCGUUUCAACAUUUUAAGCAAGAUUAGUGUACAAUUUGUUUUGUACAAUUUUAGAGUGAAAAAAGGAAAGGAGCACCAUGCAAAUGUUUGGGCACCCCAAGAGAUUUGAGCUCUCAGAUAACUUUUACCAAUGUCUCAGACCUUCAUUAGCUUUUUAGGGCUAUGGCUUGUUCACAGUCGUCGUUAGGAAAAGCCAGGUGAUGCAAAUUUCAAAGCUUUAUAAAUACCCUGACUCCUCAAAUCUUGUCCCAACAAUCAGCAGCCAUGGGCUCCUCUAAGCAGCUGCCUCACACUCUGAAAAUUAAAAUAAAUGAUGCCUACAAAGCAGGAGAAGGCUAUAAGAAGAUAGCAAAGCAUUUUCAGGUAGCUGUUUCCUCAGUUCGUAAUGUAAUUAAGAAAUGGCAGUUAACAGGAACGGUGGAGGUCAAGUUGAGGACUGGAAGACCAAGAAAACUUUCCGAGAGAACUGUUCAUAGGAUUGCUAGAAAGGCAAAUCAAAACCCCUGUUUGACUGCAAAAGACCUUCAGAAAGAUUUAGCAGACUCUGGAGUGGUGGUGUACUGUUCUACUGUGCAGCGACACCUGCACAAAUAUGACCUUCAUUGGAAGGGUCAUCAGCAAAAAACCUUUCCUGCAUCCUCACCACAAAAUUCAGUGUCUCUGGCAACUGCAGAGAGAGAUAUCUGUGAGCUGAUUCCUGAACCCAGCCACAGAGACGCGAGAGUUGGUAGCACUGACUGCCAACUUCUAUAUCUAUGAGUGAAGUCCAAUCGUUGGGUGACUGUCACUUCGCAAUCAAUACAUGGAUUUUUGGAGCAAUCUGUGGAGUCCACUUUGUCGUUAACCUGUACCGGGAAGCAGGUAUAUCUGUGGGCAGCCACGUAUCGAGUGCCCUCGGUGUGGCAGGUUUUUCAGAACAAAGCAACAGAGAUCUUCGGUGAUUGUGGCAUUGUAUUGGUUCCAAUGUGGAACUUGUGAACUUCGUAAACUCCUCUCUACAUUCUAACGUGGUUUUCAGAAGCCUUUGCUCAUCAUUUUGCUUCACGACGUGCUGAACUGAACUGAACUUUGAGAACUGUUCCUAGACUUGGUCGUUUGGGAACUGGCCACAUGCACUUCGGUUUAUCAUAGAACAGUACAGCACCAUACAGGCCCUUUGGCCCACAAUGUUGUGCCGACCUUUAAACAUCGCCUAAGACCAUCUAACCCCUUCCUCCCACAUAUCCCCCUAUUUUAAAUUCCUCCAUAUGCUUAUCUAGCAAUCUCUUGAAUUUGACCAAUGUACCUGCCUCCACCACCACCCCAGGUGGUGCAUCCCAUGCCCCAACCACUCUCUGGGUAAAAAACCUCCCUCUGAUAUCUCCCUCAAACUUACCACCCAUUACCUUAAAGCGAUGCCCUCUUGUAUUGAGCAUUGGUGCCCUGGGAAAGAGGAGCUGGCUGUCUGUCUAUUCCUCUUAAUAUUUUGUAUACCUCUAUCAUGUUUCCCCUCAUCUUCUCUCCAAAGAGUAAAGCCCUAGCUCCUUUAAUCUCUCCUCAUAAUGCAUACUCGCUAAACCAGGCAGCAUUCUGGUAAAUCUCCUCUGCGACCUUUCCAGUGCUUCCACAUCCUUCCCAUGAUGAGGCAACCAGAACUGGACACAGUACUCCCAAGUGUGGUCUAACCAGAGUUUUGUAGAGCUGCAUCAUUACCUUGCGGCUCUUAAACUCAAUGCCAUGACUUAUGAAUGCUAAUGUCCUGUAAGCUUUAUUAACUACUCUAUCCACCAGUGAGGCAACUUUCAGGGAUCUGUGGAUAUGAACCCCCAGAUCCCUCUGCUCCUCCACACUACCCAGAAUCCUGCCAUUAACUUUGUACUCUGCCUUGGAGUUUGUCCUUCCAAAGUGUACCACCUCACACUUCUCUGGAUUGAACUCCAUCUGCCACUUCUCAGCCCAGCUCUGCAUGCUAUCGAUAUCCCUCUGCAAUCUUCGACAGUCCUCCACACUAUCCACAACACCACCGACCUUUGUGUCAUCUGCAAACUUGCCAACCCACCCUUCUACCCCCUCAUCCAAGUCAUUAAUAAAAAUCACGAAAAGUAGAGGUCCCAGAACCGAUCCUUGUGGGACACCGCUAGUCACUGCCCUCCAAUCUGAAUACAUUCCCUCCACCACAACCCACUGCUUUCUACAUAAAGUCAAUUUUGAAUCCACAUGGCCAAGCAUCCCUGGAUCCCAUGCCCUCUGACCUUCUGAAGAAGCCUACCAUGUGGAACCUUGUCAAAUGCCUUAUUAAAAUCCGGUCAAUGUCUGAUAUCUAACGUUUUUUGUAUUACAGCUACUUAUUAAUAAAUAGGUUUUAAUGUUGAAACCUUGCUUGUUGUGUUUCUAUUGUUGCUGGUACGUAACAGAAUUGGUGGCUCGUCUGGGAUCGACUCAAGACUGAUACGAGAGGUCUGGGUUUGAAACAAAUUGGAGCUUAUUGAACAAUCAAUUGUCGAUCUGACUGAUAAAUUUCCUUUCGAUUGGCUUGUAUGUGUGGAAACCAGCAGCAAUGGAUGUUGAUGCCUUUCUGAAAUCGCCAACCCCUGUGGGAUUGCACGGGGCGAGUAAGGCAGAGUUGUUGAGCAUUGCUAUAAGGUUAAAACUUGAAGCAGCAAAGAGGUCUAUGAAAAAAGCAGAUAUUUGGAGAAUGAUAGCUGUGUAACGACUCACCGUCCAAGCAAGCGAAUUGGCUUUGCGGUUGGGUCGCGCGUCGUCAGAGCGGCGAGGCCCAAGAUGGCGCUGGGCCUUCGUCUUCCCCGAGCGACGGGGAGAACCCAUCCAUGGGAAAAGUUUGAUGACGUAGCGCAUACGUCAUUUCCGUUUUCGGUGGGCGGGAACUGUUCCUCUUAAAAGGCUCAUGCAAAGUGGGAAAAUAAAUUAGUUUUGUUCUGCAA